UACGAAGGGGGCAAGCGUUGUUCGGAAUUACUGGGCGUAAAGGGCGCGUAGGCGGCCCUCCUUGUCGCGUGUGAAAGCCCCGGGCUCAACCUGGGAACGGCGCGCGAGACGGGGGGGCUGGAGUUCGGGAGAGGAGCGUGGAAUUCCCAGUGUAGAGGUGAAAUUCGUAGAUAUUGGGAAGAACACCGGUGGCGAAGGCGGCGCUCUGGACCGAGACUGACGCUGAGGCGCGAAAGCGUGGGGAGCAAACAGG
rnacentral:rRNA from 1 species